rnacentral:rRNA from 1 species
GAUAAACGCUGGCGGCGCACAUAAGACAUGCAAGUCGAACGGACUUAACUCAUUCUUUUAGAUUGAGAGCGGUUAGUGGCGGACUGGUGAGUAACACGUAAGCAACCUGCCUAUCAGAGGGGAAUAACAACGAGAAAUCGUUGCUAAUACCGCAUAAGCUAGUAGCAUCGCAUGAUGUAGCUAGAAAAGGGGCAAUCCGCUGAUAGAUGGGCUUGCGUCUGAUUAGUUAGUUGGUAGGGUAACGGCCUACCAAGACGAUGAUCAGUAGCUGGACUGAGAGGUUGAACGGCCACAUUGGGACUGAGAUACGGCCCAG